UGGGUUUAAAGGGAGCGUAGGCUGGAGAUUAAGUGUGUUGUGAAAUGUAGACGCUCAACGUCUGACUUGCAGCGCAUACUGGUUUCCUUGAGUACGCACAACGUUGGCGGAAUUCGUCGUGUAGCGGUGAAAUGCUUAGAUAUGACGAAGAACUCCGAUUGCGAAGGCAGCUGACGGGAGCGCAACUGACGCUGAAGCUCGAAGGUGCGGGUAUCGAACAGGAUUAGAUACCCUGGUAGUCCGCACAGUAAACGAUGGAUGCCCGCUGUUGGUACCUGGUAUCAGCGGCUAAGCGAAAGCAUUAAGCAUCCCACCUGGGGAGUACGCCGGCAACGGUGAAACUCAAAGGAAUUGACGGGGGCCCGCACAAGCGGAGGAACAUGUGGUUUAAUUCGAUGAUACGCGAGGAACCUUACCCGGGCUUGAAUUGCAGAGGAAGGAUUUAGAGAUAAUGACGCCCUUCGGGGUCUCUGUGAAGGUGCUGCAUGGUUGUCGUCAGCUCGUGUCGUGAG
rnacentral:rRNA from 1 species